GCUUAAAUUAAAAUGUCAGUUAAAUUUGUCAAAUGUCACGACAUUAUGGAGGAUAACCAAGUUUGUAGUAGGUUGAACUAAUAAUAUCGCGUUUCUCGUUUCUAUAAAAUAAGGAUAAUUGAAGCUAGGCCCAAAGUUGUCACAAUUAUGAGGAGAAAAGCAAGAAAUGCUUGGAAAAAGAAGACAGAGGUUAACAAUCAAGUAGAAGUUACUACUCAUGAAGUAACAAAUAAAAAUGAACAUGACAAAGUAGAAAAAAAUAAUGAGGAUGAUAAAAUAGCAGGUAAUAUUGAUAAUAGUAACGUAGCUGAUCCAAUUAGUUAUACAGAAGUAUCUGGUGAGGAUAAAAACGAAAAUAAUGACAGGGAAGAUGAGGAGCAAGAUCAAGAGAGCACACAAGGUAAGUCAACAGGUUUAAAUCCUGAUCAAACUUCGAAUAAUAUUGAUAAUCAAUCUGAAAUUGAAAAUGACAAUGUACAGGGGUCUACCCCAUCACCUAAAGCUAAUGACGAAAGUGUACAAAAUGAGAAUGUUACAAACGAAGAUGAUGCUGUAGCUACAAAUGAGGCUGAUACCGCUUCUGAGUCUGCACCUGCAAUAGAAAAUGAACAAACAGAACAUGAUCAACAAGAAGAAGCUUUUGAAAGCAGUUAUGUUAGCCACCAUCAAGAAAAUUCUGAUAGUAGUAAUCAUAAAGACACUAAAGAUAAUGAACGUUCACAUACUCCUGAGCUCAAAGCGAGAAGUGAAAGUGUAUAUGAUAAAAAGCGUAUUGUAUUGAAAAGAUCACCUAUUCACAGAUCCCCUUCGCCAUUAGAAGACGGUGAGAUAAAAGAACCUCAGGAUAAACCAAAAAAAAUUACCCUGAAGAGAUCCAGCAACAGUAAUUCCGAUUUUAUUAAUAAGAUUAUUAUUAACAGAAGACCGUCAGGUGGAACUGAUAAGUCCAAGAAAAGUGGACAUAAUACAGAGGGAAGGACGCAUAUAGUAAUAGCUCGACCAAUACAACCAUCGAAACCAAUAAAGCUAAACAGAAAUGCUUUGUUAUCGGGAGAGGAAGAUCUUCCAGUCCCUCCCACAUCUCCGCAUCCGCAUAGGUCGUGGGGCAAAAGCGACUGGCUGGAAAAUCUUUCUGCUACAUCAUACAAAAUAGAUGUGGAUACCAUCAAAAUUGUUUGCCCGUCUGUACAGUUUUUGGAUGAGUCUGAAGUAAAACUUGAAGAUGUUUGUAAAGAAGCAAUCAGAGCUGAAGUCGACGUAAAGAAGAGGAUCGUGAAAAAAGAAGAAGAAAAGAGUGACGAAGAAUCUGAAAAGGAAAAAUCUGAAGAGGAAGAUUCUGCGGAGGAACAAAAGAAAUCAGAAAUUACCACCAAUCCCAAUAUAAUUGCUGUGAACAGAAAGAUUAGCAUUGUAGACGACACUGCUGCAAAAUUGCGUCCACCACCUAGCCCCGCUAAAAAUCCGCCUUCCAAUAUACUAUAUAUCACCAAUUUAGUCAGGCCGUUCACUGCAAAACAACUACGGGAAUUGUUGGAGAGGACUGGAAAGAUAAAGGAAGGCAGUUUUUGGACAGACAGGAUCAAGUCAAAAUGUUACGUUCAAUAUGAAAGUCUUGAGGAAGCUGAAACUACUAGGAAUGCUCUUCAUGGAGUGCAUUGGCCUAUCGGCAACGGAAAACAGCUCAGUAUUGAUUAUGGUACUGAGGAAGAAAUGGAAAAAGCGAAGAAUCCUAUACCAACACCGAUAGUGCUUCCUGUAAAAUCACCUGAGAAGGAAAAUAGGGAACCUGAAUUAGACAUUAGACGAAGAGAUCGUGAAAGGGAUAGGGAUCAAGAAAAGGAGGAAAGGAGAAAGGAUCAUUCAGAGAGGGAAUGGAUUAAGAAGGAAGAACCACGUAGACAGCGUUCAAGAAGUAGAAGUAGAGAAAGGGUUAGGAAACAUAGUCGGAGAUCGUACACUCCAGAAAUUGACAACAGAAAGAAGCACAAGAAACCGGAAGAACCGGUACCACAAAAAUUAAUGGAUGACCUAUUUUUGAAAACUAAGACUACACCGAGCAUAUACUGGCAACCCCUUUCUCCACAAGAGAUUGCAACUAAGCAACAGCAGAGACUGGUGCGUAUGGAGGAGCACAAGCGAAGAAUCGAGGAAAACCGAGGGCGUUUCCGAGAUAGAGAAAGAGACAGACGUGGCACCUUCAGACGGCGCUGACGUUUGCCUUACUUUUUUAGAUAUUUCAGGAAUUGAUUUACGAUUUUUUGGUGUGAAAGAUAAAACCGUAUGCAUGUUGUAUUUAAUUCCUUUCCUAGAUUUAGAAAUGAUUUUUAAACGAUUUUUCCUCGUCCUUGUGAGAAUGUGGUAUGUAUGAUUUCAGUAAUACUGAUUGUUAUAGGGCUCCAGAUUGUCUCCGACGUGACGAAAGGACCCCCGUUGGAAAGUUCUUCAACGAAGGAGUCUUUUUUGUUACAGUUUUGAAGAAGAUGCUUAAAAUGUUUUAUUUCAUUCAAGAGGUUUACUUUUUCUGAUAUACCAACAGUAUAACCGACAACAACUUAGUUCAACAACUUG
rnacentral:misc_RNA from 1 species